rnacentral:rRNA from 1 species
CACGCCGUAUACUAUGCUCGCUAGGUGUCAGGCAUGGCGCGACCGUGUCUGGUGCCGCAGGGAAGCCGUGAAGCGAGCCACCUGGGAAGUACGGCCGCAAGGCUGAAACUUAAAGGAAUUGGCGGGGGAGGCACAACAACGGGUGGAGCCUGCGGUUUAAUUUGGACUCAACGCCGGGAAGCUCACCGGAUAAGACAGCGGAAUGAUUGCCGGGCUGAAGACUCUGCAUGACUAGCUGAGAGGAGGUGCAUGGCGUAGACGUCU